AGAGUUUGAUCCUGGCUCAGAAUGAACGCUAUCUAUUUGCCUAACACAUGCUAGUUGAACGCGUUGAAAAACGAGUAGCGAACGGGUGAGUAACGCAUGGGAAUCUACCUUAUAGUUUGGUUAAAUGCCUUAUAUAAAAAGAAUUUUCGCUAUAAGAUGAGCCUUUGUAGGAUUAGGUAGUUGGUAAGGUAACUGCUUACCAAGCCGAUGAUCCUUAAUUGGCCUGAGAGGGUGUACAAUCACAUUAGAACUGAGAAAGGUCUAAACAUUUACGAAUGGCAGCAGUGGGGAAUAUUGAACAAUGGGCGCAAGCUCGAUUCAGCGAUAUGGAGUGGAUGAUGACAGUCAUUUGAUUGUAAAGUCCUUUUACCAAGAAAGAUUUUGACUUUACUUGGAGAAAAAGCCCUGGCAAAUUUCGUGCCAGCAGCCGCGGUGAUACGAAAAGGGCUAGUGUUAUUCGGAAUAAUUGGGUGUAAAGGGUGAGUAGGCGGUAAUCAAAGUUAAUCAUUAAAUCUUAGUAGUAAGUACUAAAUCAAUUUUUAAUAACAAGUUACUAGAGUAAAAGAGAGGAUUGUAGAAUUUCAAGUGGAGAAAUAAAAUUCGUAGAUUUUUGAAGGAAUAUCGAAAGCGAAGGCAACAAUCUGGCUUUAUACUGACGCUGAUUCACGAAAGCGUAGGUAGCAACCGGGAUUAGAGACCCCGUUAGUCUACGCCGUAAACGAUGAGUACUCAUUUUUGGAUAGAAUAUAUUCAGAAAUUUAGCUAACGCGUUAAGUACUCCGCCUGAGAAGUACAGUGGCAACACUGAAACUCAAAGGAAUUGACGGGGAUUUAUACCAUUCGUGGAACAUGUCAUUUAAUUCGUAAAUACACGCAAAACCUUACCAACUUUUGAAUAAUUUUGUAUUCUAAUGAAGAAAUUUGUUAUGUUAAAAAUUACAGGUACUGCAUGGCUGUCGUCAGCUCGUGUCUUGAGAUGUUAGGUUUAGUCCAGUAACGAGCGAAACCCUUCUUCUUUGUUGCAAAAGACUAUUUACUCGGUUGUAUCGAUUGAGUUAUAUCUGUGUACUUAAAGAGUAUUGCCUAUGAUAUAUAGGAUGAAAGAAAGGAUGACGUCAAGUCUUCAUGGUCCUUAU
rnacentral:rRNA from 1 species